UCCCUGAGAAUACUCUGGCAGCUCGAAAAGUAUGUCUAGCUGCUGAGUACCAUCGGGGACC
rnacentral:pre_miRNA from 1 species